rnacentral:tRNA from 1 species
GCCCGGGUGGCGGAAUCGGCAGACGCAACGGACUUAAAAUCCGUUUCCGCUGACGCGGAGUGGGGGUUCGAGUCCCCCCCCGGGCA